AACGAACGCUGGCGGCAGGCCUAACACAUGCAAGUCGAGCGAGGACUUCGGUCCUAGCGGCGGACGGGUGAGUAACGCGUGGGAACGUGCCCUUUGCUACGGAAUAGCCCCGGGAAACUGGGAGUAAUACCGUAUGUGCCCGAGAGGGGAAAGAUUUAUCGGCAAAGGAUCGGCCCGCGUUGGAUUAGGUAGUUGGUGGGGUAAUGGCCUACCAAGCCGACGAUCCAUAGCUGGUUUGAGAGGAUGAUCAGCCACACUGGGACUGAGACGCGGCCCAGACUCCUACGGGAGGCAGCAGUGGGGAAUCUUAGACAAUGGGGGAAACCCUGAUCUAGCCAUGCCGCGUGAGCGAUGAAGGCCUUAGGGUUGUAAAGCUCUUUCAGUGGGGAAGAUAAUGACGGUACCCACAGAAGAAGCCCCGGCUAACUCCGUGCCAGCCGCCGCGGUAA
rnacentral:rRNA from 1 species